rnacentral:miRNA from 1 species
CUCUGUGACUGUGGGCUGCCAGGCGGGAGGGCGGCUCCUGGUGUCUCCCCUGGCUGCUCUCCUCCCCAGUG